UUGGCUUCCCAAAGUGCUGGGAUUAUAGGCGUGAACCACUGCACCCAGCCAGCAACUUCUUGUAUAACAAUGAUUUCAGAGUAAUAUAAGUAAGUAUAGCAUGAGCUACUAGGGUGGGGCAUCAAGAACUUUGAAUACUAGGCUGAGGAAAUUAAUUCAAAAAAAUACAGGUAGGUGAUGAAGAGCCACUGAAAAUGUUCAGGAAAUAGGACUGAACUCAUGCAAUUCCCUUAGUCUCUUGGUAAGCUCUCACUGAAAUAACUGGAAAGCUUUAAUUUUUGGUUUUAUUUGUUAUUUGUUCGUUUUUGGUAAUGAAACCUUAACAUCACUUUUCAACAGGUAAGAUUCAAGGAAAACACAGGAAGUAGAAAGCAAAUGGUGUCAACAAGACAGAAAGAACAGAGGAAGCAGCAGCAUAGAUGGUGGAGGGAAGCCCUGUUCUCUCUAGGAGAAUUCUAGAGAAGCUCUGGGGUGAAUCCAUGCAAAACAAAACAACAAAAAAAAAGUCUCAGGACUUUGAGGCGAGAUUCCCAGGAGGUCCAAAAGCUUGAUCUUCUCUAGUCUCUGGCAUUGGGAGAAAAGUCUGUGAAUGUGCACCAGGUAAGAGUACUAGAAAGUCCUUCUGUCCCUUCACUAGUCUCCCAGAAGCUACCCUUUCUUCUCCAAAAUGACUGCAAGCACAGUUUCUAGCCCCUCCUCCCUCUGGGGCUACCUGGACUAAUUACUGAAAGUUACUUUGAUUCUCAAGAAAAAGCCCAAAAGAGAGUUGUCCCUUUGCUACCAGACAGUCUUUGUUCCUGCCUCUGAAAACCCAAAGCUGUUAACAAGCCCUUAAAAUAACGGAAAUGAGUACAAUGCUGGACAUUCCUAUUUCUAAGGGUCUGGGUAACUGCAAUGCAAUUAUAUUUCCAUUUCUUCUGAGAGUCUCACAUAGUAGUGAGAAUAAUACAGAAAUUAUUAUCAGUACAUUAUCCUGCAAUAUUGCUCUUCAUGUAUAUUUUAAAAGGUUAUCAGCUUAAAAAUCUGGAGAAGAGGUAGAAAAUGCUUGACUUUUGUAGCCACGGCUUUCUUCCUCAUUCAUGGCAGAUAUAGCUAAUUGAUCAUUUCUAUCAAAUGACCGGUACCUGUUUAUGCUAAACAUAGUGGGUGACACAGCCAGUAAUAAUGAACUAGAAUCAGAAAUUGAGAUUAAAAUGUAUA